rnacentral:rRNA from 1 species
UUCCUACGGGACGCAGCAGUUGGGAAUAUUGGACAAUGGAGGAAACUCUGAUCCAGUGACGCCGCGUGAAGGAAGAAGGUCUUCGGAUUGUAAACUUAUUUUAUCAGGGAAGAAAAAAAUGACAGUACCUGAAGAAAAAGGACCGGCAAACUACGUGCCAGCAGCCGCGGUAAUACGUAGGGUCCAAGCGUUAUCCGGAUUUACUGGGUGUAAAGGGCGAGUAGACGGCAUAGCAAGUCAGAUGUGAAAACUUAGAGCUCAACUUUAAGCGUGCAUCUGAAACUGUUAAGCUAGAGUGCAG